rnacentral:rRNA from 1 species
GAUGAACGCUAGCGGCAGGCCUAAUACAUGCAAGUCGAGGGGCAGCACGGUAGCAAUACUGGUGGCGACCGGCGCACGGGUGCGUAACGCGUAUGCAACUUACCCUUUACAGGGAGAUAGCCCGGAGAAAUUCGGAUUAAUAUCCCAUAGUAUAUAGAUUUGGCAUCAGAUUUAUAUUAAAGAUUUAUCGGUAAAGGAUGGGCAUGCGUGUCAUUAGCUAGUUGGUGAGGUAAUGGCUCACCAAGGCGACGAUGACUAGGGGUACUGAGAGGUUACACCCCCACACUGGUACUGAGACACGGACCAGACUCCUACGGGAGCAGCAGUAAGGAAUAUUGGACAAUGGGCGAGAGCCUGAUCCAGCCAUGCCGCGUGCAGGAUGACGGUCCUAUGGAUUGUAAACUGCUUUUGUAUGGGAAUAAACCCAGAUACGUGUAUCUGGCUGAAUGUACCAUAAGAAUAAGGAUCGGCUAACUCCGUG